rnacentral:rRNA from 1 species
UACGUAGGUGGCAAGCGUUGUCCGGAAUUAUUGGGCGUAAAGCGCGUGUAGGCGGGGUGGCACGUCGGUCGCUGAAAGCCCCCGGCUCAACCGGGGAAGGGUCGCCGAUACGACCACCCUGGAGGGACGUAGGGGGACCUGGAACUUCCGGUGGAGCGGUGAAAUGCGUUGAGAUCGGAAGGAACGCCCGUGGCGAAAGCGAGGUCCUGGACGUCUACUGACGCUGAGACGCGAAAGCCAGGGGAGCGAACGGG